GGGUGCAGAUAGACCGACUCGGCGAUGGAUCCCCUGCCUUCUCAGUUAAUGUCCGCGACCGAUAACCUCCACGACAAGAGCCUCAACGGAUGUUGUUCUUGCUGCUAUGACUCCUGCUCCAGCAUCGUAGACUUCUUGUCAUGCGCUUGAUGCUGCUCCUCCUUCUGUCGUUCCCCGGCUUCUGGCGAAAGUGCACCGAGAUGCCUGAGUUAUUUCGGAGUACUAUAGUGUAUAGUCAUUGGGUGAUAAGUAUUUAUUAUUUUUUAUUGAGUUGAAUAUUUAUAGUAUGCAAGGAUAUUUAUGGAUCAACUGCUGUAGUGUGUUGACUUAUCUUCCGUUAAGGACGCCGUCAGCCAAA